UCGGGAAUAUUGGGCAAUGGAGGAAACUCUGACCCAGCAAUACCGCGUGGAGGAUGAAGGUCUUCGGAUUGUAAACUUCUGUUAUAAAGGAAGAAACAAAUGACGGUACUUUAUAAGUAAGCCCCGGCAAACUAUGUGCCAGCAGCCGCGGUGAUACAUAGGGGGCGAGCGUUGUCCGGAAUGACUGGGUGUAAAGGGUGUGUAGGUGGCUUUUUAAGUUGGAAGUGAAAGCCCGGGGCUUAACUCCGGAACUGCUUUCAAAACUGGAUGGCUUGAGUGUGGGAGAGGUAAGUGGAACUCCUAGUGUAGCGGUGGAAUGCGUAGAUAUUAGGAAGAACAUCAGAGGCGAAGGCGACUUACUGGAACAUUACUGACACUGAAACACGAAAGCGUGGGGAGCAAACAGG
rnacentral:rRNA from 2 species